rnacentral:rRNA from 1 species
UGAUGUUAGGUGCUUGCACUUGAAAGAUUUAACAUUGAGACGAGUGGCGAACUGGUGAGUAACACGUGGGUAACCUGCCCUUGAAGUAGGGGAUAACACUUGGAAACAGGUGCUAAUACCGUAUAACAACCAAAACCACCUGGUUUUGGUUUAAAAGACGGCUUCGGCUGUCACUUUAGGAUGGACCCGCGGCGCAUUAGCUUGUUGGUAAGGUAACGGCUUACCAAGGCGAUGAUACGUAGCCGACCUGAGAGGGUAAUCGGCCACAUUGGGACUGAGACACGGCCCAAACUCCUACGGGAGGCAGCAGUAGGGAAUCUUCCACAAUGGACGAAAGUCUGAUGGAGCAACGCCGCGUGAGUGAUGAAGGGUUUCGGCUCGUAAAACUCUGUUGUUGGAGAAGAACAGGUGUCAGAGUAACUGUUGACAUCUUGACGGUAUCCAACCAGAAAGCCACGGCUAACUACGUGCCAGCAGCCGCGGUAAUACGUAGGUGGCAAGCGUUGUCCGGAUUUAUUGGGCGUAAAGCGAGCGCAGGCGGUUUUUUAGGUCUGAUGUGAAAGCCUUCGGCUUAACCGGAGAAGUGCAUCGGAAACCGGGAGACUUGAGUGCAGAAGAGGACAGUGGAACUCCAUGUGUAGCGGUGAAAUGCGUAGAUAUAUGGAAGAACACCAGUGGCGAAGGCGGCUGUCUGGUCUGUAACUGACGCUGAGGCUCGAAAGCAUGGGUAGCGAACAGGAUUAGAUACCCUGGUAGUCCAUGCCGUAAACGAUGAGUGCUAAGUGU